rnacentral:rRNA from 1 species
AUUGAACGCUGGCGGCAGGCCUAACACAUGCAAGUCGAGCGGAUGAAGGGAGCUUGCUCCUGGAUUCAGCGGCGGACGGGUGAGUAAUGCCUAGGAAUCUGCCUUGUAGUGGGGGAUAACGUCCGGAAACGGGCGCUAAUACCGCAUACGUCCUGAGGGAGAAAGUGGGGGAUCUUCGGACCUCACGCUAUCAGAUGAGCCUAGGUCGGAUUAGCUAGUUGGUGGGGUAAAGGCCUACCAAGGCGACGAUCCGUAACUGGUCUGAGAGGAUGAUCAGUCACACUGGAACUGAGACACGGUCCAGACUCCUACGGGAGGCAGCAGUGGGGAAUAUUGGACAAUGGGCGAAAGCCUGAUCCAGCCAUGCCGCGUGUGUGAAGAAGGUCUUCGGAUUGUAAAGCACUUUAAGUUGGGAGGAAGGGCGGUAAGUUAAUACCUUGCUGUUUUGACGGUACCAACAGAAUAAGCACCGGCUAACUUCGUG